rnacentral:rRNA from 1 species
AUUGAACGCUGGCGGCAUGCCUUACACAUGCAAGUCGAACGGCAGCACGGGAGCUUGCUCCUGGUGGCGAGUGGCGAACGGGUGAGUAAUACAUCGGAACGUGCCCUGAAGUGGGGGAUAACGUAGCGAAAGUUACGCUAAUACCGCAUAUUCUGUGAGCAGGAAAGCAGGGGAUCUUCGGACCUUGUGCUUUGGGGAGCGGCCGAUGUCGGAUUAGCUAGUUGGUGGGGUAAAGGCCUACCAAGGCGACGAUCCGUAGCGGGUCUGAGAGGAUGAUCCGCCACACUGGAACUGAGACACGGUCCAGACUCCUACGGGAGGCAGCAGUGGGGAAUUUUGGACAAGUGGGCGCAAGCCUGAUCCAGCCAUGCCGCGUGAGCGAAGAAGGCCUUCGGGUGUAAAGCUCUGUCUGGAGGGACGAAGGAAGUGGACGGUACCGUCCGGAGGAGCCACGGCUAACUACGUGCCGAGCAGCCGCGGUAAGUCACGAGAGUAC